ACGGCCGCGGUAUCCUGACCGUGCGAAGGUAGCGUAAUCAUUUGUCUUUUAAAUAGAGACCUGUAUGAAUGGCAUAACGAGGGUUUAACUGUCUCCUUCCCCUAGUCAAUGAAAUUGAUCUGCCCGUGCAGAAGCGGACAUAAAUACAUAAGACGAGAAGACCCUAUGGAGCUUUAGACAAAAGAUCAAACAUGUAAAGAAACCAAGUUAACCAAAAGGAACACAAAGGCCACGAAACCCGACGUAAACUGAUCCAAAUGUCUUCGGUUGGGGCGACCAUGGGGGAGAAAAAAGCCCCCACGAGGAACAGGGACUAAUCCCUAAGCCAAGAGAGACAUCUCUAAGCAACAGAAAAUCUGACCAAAAGUGACCCAGAAUACUAAUUCUGAUCAACGAACCAAGUUACCCUAGGGAUAACAGCGCAAUCCUUUCCCAGAGUCCAUAUCGACGAAAGGGUUUACGACCUCGAUGUUGGAUCAGGACAUCCUAAUGGUGCAGCCGCUAUUAAGGGUUCGUU
rnacentral:rRNA from 1 species